rnacentral:rRNA from 1 species
GAUCUCAAAUCAGGUAGGACUACCCGCUGAACUUAAG